rnacentral:rRNA from 1 species
CCUACGGGAGGCAGCAGUGGGGGAUAUUGCACAAUGGGGGAAACCCUGAUGCAGCGACGCCGCGUGGGGGAAGAAGUAUUUCGGUUUGUAAAGCCCUUUCAGCAGGGAAGAAGAAAUUACGGUACCUGAGUAAGUAGCCCCGGCGAAAUACGUGCCAGCCGCCGCGGUAAUACGUAUGGUGAAAGCGUUUUCCGGAUGUACUGGGUGUAAAGGGAGGGCAGGCGGCACGGCAAGCCUGAUGUGAAAGCCCGCGGCCCAACCGCGGGACUGCAUUGGGAACUACCGGGCUGGAGUGCCGGAGAGGUAGGCGGAAUUCCUAGUGUAGCGGUGAAAUGCGUAGAUAUUAGGAGGAACACCAGUGGCGAAGGCGGCCUACUGGACGGUGACUGACGCUGAGGCUCGAAAGCGUGGGGAGCAAACAGGAUUAGAUACCCGGGUAGUC